GGCGGGGGUCGCAGCUCUUCCGAAAGCCAUUGUCCGUAGCCGCACUAGUGCAAGGUUGAUCCGCGGCCAAUGUGGGUGAGAGAUCACAGGGCGGACGUCAGGGCACCCAGGCAGCCAGCUCAGCACAGACCCUGAACUAAAGUUUAUGAGUACAAGUGGCAGAGAAUGUGUGUUGGACCCCUGAAGAGCCAAACAUCAGGCUAACGCGAAGCAGCCCUUGCAGGUAGGGGCCGUUGCAACGUCUAUACUGAGAGACGUCAG